rnacentral:rRNA from 1 species
UACAGAGGUCUCAAGCGUUGUUCGGAUUCAUUGGGCGUAAAGGGUGCGUAGGCGGCGCGGUAAGUCGGGUGUGAAAUCUCGGAGCUUAACUCCGAAACUGCAUUCGAAACUGCAGGGCUAGAGUCCUGGAGAGGAAGGUGGAAUGCUUGGUGUAGAGGUGAAAUUCGUAGAUAUCAAGCGGAACACCGGUGGCGAAGGCGGCCUUCUGGACAGUGACUGACGCUGAGACGCGAAAGCGUGGGGAGCAAACAGG